UGGGGAAUCUUGCACAAUGGGGGCAACCCUGAUGCAGCGACGCCGCGUGAGCGAUGAAGCCCUUCGGGGCGUAAAGCUCUUUCGACCGGAACGAUAAUGACGGUACCGGGAGAAGAAGCUGCGGCUAACUACGUGCCAGCAGCCGCGGUAAUACGUAGGCAGCAAGCGUUGUUCGGAGUUACUGGGCGUAAAGAGUGCGUAGGCGGUUUUCUAAGUUCGGUGUGAAAUCUCCCGGCUUAACUGGGAGGGUGCGCCGAAGACUGGGAAGCUGGAGUGUGGGAAAGGCAGGCGGAAUUCCUGGUGUAGCGGUGAAAUGCGUAGAUAUCAGGAGGAACACCGGCGGUGUAGACGGCUUGCUAGACCAUAACUUACGCUGAGGCACGAAAGCGUGGGUAGCAAACA
rnacentral:rRNA from 1 species